GUGGGGAAUAUUGGACAAUGGGCGAAAGCCUGAUCCAGCAAUGCCGCGUGAGUGAUGAAGGCCUUAGGGUUGUAAAGCUCUUUUACCCGGGAAGAUAAUGACUGUACCGGGAGAAUAAGCUCCGGCUAACUCCGUGCCAGCAGCCGCGGUAAUACGGGGGGAGCUAGCGUUGUUCGGAAUUACUGGGCGUAAAGCGCACGUAGGCGGCUAUUCAAGUCAGAGGUGAAAGCCCGGGGCUCAACCCCGGAACUGCCUUUGAAACUAGAUAGCUUGAAUCCAGGAGAGGUGAGUGGAAUUCCGAGUGUAGAGGUGAAAUUCGUAGAUAUUCGGAAGAACACCAGUGGCGAAGGCGGCUCACUGGACUGGUAUUGACGCUGAGGUGCGAAAGCGUGGGGAGCAAACAGGAUUAGAAACCCUAGUAGUCC
rnacentral:rRNA from 1 species